rnacentral:lncRNA from 1 species
AUGCCCAAGUGCCCCGCGUGCGACAAGGUGUACUUCGCCGAGAGGGUGACCUCUCUAGGCAAGGACUGGCAUCGGCCCUGCCUGAAGUGUGAGAAAUGUGGGAAGACGCUGACUUCCGGGGGCCACGCUGAGCAUGAAGGCAAACCCUACGGCAACCACCCCUGCUACGCCGCCAUGUUUGGGCCUAAAGGCUUUGGGCGGGGUGGACCCGAGAGCCACACUUUCAAGU